rnacentral:lncRNA from 1 species
ACAGAUCCCACUGCGGCCGGCGGACAUGGAGGGGUCUUUACUGAGGGGGGAGGGGCGGGGGGCGCCCCCCACGGAGGUUUUGGGGUCGUUUUCCCCAAUUUUGGUCCGGGAUGGAUUUGGGGGUGGGGGGGGAGGGGGGCUGGAAUGGAUUCCCAGGGUCUGGGAUGGUUUCUUGGAGGUCUGGAAUGGAUUUGGGGGGGUCCGGAAUGGAUUCUGGGGCUCAGGAAUGGAUUUCAGGGGGUCCGGAAUGGAUUUGGGGAGUCCGGAAUGGAUUUGGGGAGUCCGGAAUGGAUUUGGGGAGUCCGGAAUGGAUUUGGGAGGUCUGGAACGGAUUCCCGAGGUCAGGAAUGGGUUCUGGGGGUCUGGAAUGGAUUCCUGAGGUCAGGAAUGGAUUCCGGGUGGUCAGGAAUGGAUUUUCGGGGGUCCGGAAUGAAUUUGGGGUGUCAGGAACGGAUUCCAAAGGUCCGGAAUGGAUUGGAGGGGGGCUGGAAUGGAUUUGGGGGUCCCGGGUCCCCCCAAAACCGCGGGCACGGAAACGUCCCCGAGAGUCCUUCCCCCUCCUGCCCCUCCGGCCCGGGGGGGCUCGGCCCCGGUUCCGGGGGGUCCCGGUCCCGGUUCUGGAGGCUCCUGGUUCUGGUCCUGGACGUUUCCCGGUCCUGGUUCCAGUCCCGGUCUGCUUCCAGAGGAAUCCAGUUCCAGUUAUUUCCCAGUCCUGAUUCCAGUUCCGGAGUUUUCCUGGUCCCAGUCCAGGUCCGAGUUCCAGUUCCGGAGUUUUCUUGGUCCCAGUUCUGGAUCCAGAGUUUCCCUGGUCCCGGUCCCAUCCAGUCCCAGUCCCGGUUCCAGUUCUGGUUCUGGUUGUGUCCCGGUCCCGGUUCCAGUUCCAGUUCCAGAGUUUCCCAGUCCAGGUCCCAGUUCUGGUUCCGGAUUUUCCCUGGUCCUGGACCCGGUUCCAGCUCCAGUUCGGAUUUUCCCUGAUCCUGGUUCCAAUCCUGGUUCCGGUUCCAAUCCCGGUCCCAGUUCCAGUCCUGGUUCUGGUUCUUUCCCAGUCCCGGUCCCGGUUCCAGUCCCGGUUCUGGUUCUUUCCCAGUCCCGGUUCCGGUUCCAGUUCCGGAUUUUCCCUGGUCCUGAUCCCAAUCCCGGUCCCGGUUCCAGUCCUGGUUCUGGUUCUUUCCCAGUCCCGGUCCCGGUUCCAGUCCUGGUUCUGGCUCUUUCCCAGUCCCGGUCCCGGUUCCAGUUCCGGAUUUUCCCCGGUCCCGCUCCCUUUCAGCCCAGGUGCAGCCGCUGGUGCCGGAGGAGGGCGGAGCUUCCCCCGAAGCCCCGCCCACAAUCCCCGCAGGUGAGGGGCGUGGCACCGAUCCCAGGUGUGUCACGGGUGAGGGGCGUGGCACCAGUGGGCGUGUCACAGGUGAGGGGCGUGUCACAGGUGAGGGGCGUGGCACAGGUGACGGGCAUGGAACCGAUCCCAGGUGUGUCACAGGUGAGGGCCGUGGGCGUGUCAUAGGUGGGGGGCGUGGCACAGGUGAGGGGCGUGGCACAGGUGAGGGGCGUGGCACCGCUGCCAGGUGUAUCACAGGUGAGGGGUGUGUCCCAGGUGAGGGCCGUGGGCGUGUCACAGGUGAGGGGCGUGGCACAGGUGGAGGGCGUGUCACAGGUGAGGGGCGUGUCACAGGUGAGGGGCGUGGCACCGCUGCCAGGUGUGUCCAGGGUGAGGGACGUGGCACAAACGUCAGCCAUGGCACAGGUGAGGGGCGUGGCACAGGUGAGGGGCGUGGGCGUGGCACAGGUGAGGGGCGUGGCACCGCUGCCAGGUGUAUCACAGGUGAGGGGCAUGGCACAGGUGAGGGGCAUGGGCGUGGCACAGGUGAGGGGCGUGGCACAGGUGAGGGGCGUGGGCGUGGCACAGGUGAGGGGCGUGUCACGGGCGAGGGGCGUGGCACCGCUGCCAGGUGUGUCCCAGGUGAGGCCCGUGGGCGUGGCACAGGUGAAGGCCGUGGGCGUGUCACAGGUGAGGGGCGUGUCACAGGCGAGGGGCGUGGCACCGCUGCCAGGUGUGUCCCAGGUGAGGGCCGUGGCACAGGUGAGGGCCGUGUCACGGGCGAGGGGCGUGGCACCGCUGCCAGGCGUGUCCCAGGUGAGGGCCGUGGCACAGGUGAGGGCUGUGGCACCGCUGCCAGGUGUGUCCCAGGUGAAGGCCGUGGGCGUGGCACAGGUGAGGGGCGUGUCACAGGUGAGGGGCGUGUCACGGGCGAGGGGCGUGGCACCGCUGCCAGGCGUGUCCCAGGUGAGGCCCGUGUCCGGGGCGCGUCCGCUCAGGUGUGCCGGGGGGGCGUGUCCCUGGCCCAGCCCCGCCCCGCAGCGGGCGCAGCCCCGCCCCGGCCCCGCCUUCCUCCUCCUCCUCCUCCUCCCGCCGCCGCCCGGCUCCUCCCCGUGGGCGUGGCGGUGCUUGAGGAAGGCGGAGCUGUAGCUGAAGCCCCGCCCACACUCCGCACAGGUGAAGCGCC